GAUCCUGGCUCAGGAUGAACGCUAGCGACAGGCUUAACACAUGCAAGUCGAGGGGCAGCAUAAAAGUAGCAAUACUUGGUGGCGACCGGCGCACGGGUGAGUAACGCGUAUGCAACCUACCUAUCAGAGGGGAAUAACCCGGCGAAAGUCGGACUAAUACCGCAUAAAACAGGGACACCGCAUGGUGAUAUUUGUUAAAGAAAUUCGCUGAUAGAUGGGCAUGCGUUCCAUUAGGUAGUUGGUGAGGUAACGGCUCACCAAGCCGACGAUGGAUAGGGGAACUGAGAGGUUGGUCCCCACACUGGUACUGAGACACGGACCAGACUCCUACGGGAGGCAGCAGUGAGGAAUAUUGGUCAAUGGGCGAGAGCCUGAACCAGCCAAGUCGCGUGAAGGAAAGAAGGAUCUAUGGUUCGUAAACUUCUUUUGCAGGGGAAUAAAGUGCAGGACGUGUCCUGUUUUGUAUGUACCCUGAGAAUAAGGAUCGGCUAACUCCGUGCCAGCAGCAGC
rnacentral:rRNA from 1 species